AUUUAACUCACCGAACCUGGAAACAUCAAUUCAGGAGAAACGGGAGAUUCCUGAGUGAACCGUUAGUAUGAUAAUAAAACCAGUCUUUCCAUUGCAAACUUCAGAGAGAAGAUAGGCUUUUAGUCGACCACCAGACUGGGCUAAGAUCAAAUGCAAACUGUUCAGUUCAGUUGCCACCUGCGUGACCUUGGAUGACAAGGCCAACAUGUGAGGCUGUUACCACCUCUGAACAAAGAGUACAUAACGCUUUUCCUGCUUGCCUUGGACACUUUUUAUGAGAACAUAAAUAUACU